rnacentral:rRNA from 1 species
GACGAACGCUGGCGGCGUGCUUAACACAUGCAAGUCGAACGGAAAGGUCCUGCUUAGGUGGGGUGCGGGGGUGGAGAACGGGGGAGUAACACGUGAGUACCCUGUCCUUGACUUUGAGAUGACUUAAGGAAACUGGGGCUAAUACCGGAUAGGAGCUCCCGCCGCAGGGUGGGGGUGGGAAAGUUUCGGCGGUUGGGGAUGGAAUGGCGGCUUAUCGGCUUGAUUGUGGGGUAGUGGCUGAGCAAGGCUUUGACGGGUGGCCGGCCUGAGCGGGUGACCGGCCACACUGGGACUGAGCUGCGGCCCAGACUCCUCCGGGAGGCAGCAGUGCGGAAUAUUGUACAAUGGGCGGAACCCUGAUGUAGCACCGCCGCGUGGGGGAUGACGGGCUUCGGGUUGUAUUCCGCUUUCGCCUGGGACGAAGCGUGAGUGACGGUAGUGUGUGAAGAAGCACCGGCUAACUACGUG